rnacentral:rRNA from 1 species
AGAUUGAACGCUGGCGGCAGGCCUAACACAUGCAAGUCGAGCGGUAGAGAGGUGCUUGCACCUCUUGAGAGCGGCGGACGGGUGAGUAAUGCCUAGGAAUCUGCCUAGUGGUGGGGGAUAACGUUCGGAAACGGACGCUAAUACCGCAUACGUCCUACGGGAGAAAGGCGGGGGACCUUCGGGCCUCGCGCCAUUAGAUGAGCCGUAGGUCGGAUUAGCUAGUU